rnacentral:rRNA from 1 species
AGNNGACAAACUAAAGCGAAAGCAUUCGUCAAGCAUGUUUUCAUUGGCCAUGAGCGAAAGUCAGAGGCUCCAAAACCAACAAAUACCGUCCUAAUUGUGACCAUAAACGAUGCCAACUGACGAUCCGUGGUGGUAAUUAAACCCUCACGGGCAGUCCCCGGGAAACUUAAAUCUAUGGGUUCCGGGGGAAAGAUGGUUGCAAAACUGAAACUUAAAGGAAUUGACGGAAGGGCACCACCAGGAGUGGAGCCUGCGGCUUAAAUUGACUCAACACGGGAAAACUCACCCGGGCCGGACACUAUGACGAUUGACAUAUUGAAAGCUCUUUCUUGAUUUGGUGGGUGGUGGUGCAUGGCCGUUCUUAUUGGGGGGAGCGAAUUGUCUGGUUAAUUCCGAUAACGAACAAGACUCCCGCCUGGUAAAAAAUCUCCUGGCCCACUUGGAAGCGGGGAAUGCGCAAAUGGCCAAGGGGUGGGCUCCCGGGGGGCCUUUUAUUAUAACCCCCCCCAGACCCCCUUAAAGGUUUCGG